GGGGGCGCCGGCUGCGGCUGCAGAUGGAGAAGGCGGCGGCGGAGGUACCGACUCGAGCUUGACCAGGGUCAGCGAGAUGAGCUGGAGAACAAGAGGUCACUGAUCUUUAGUGAGUCCUGGGAAUGAACACAUUACCGAGUCCCAGAACCUUCUGCCCCGACAGCUUCCUGUUCUAGACUCCUCAGACAGGGACUCCAUCUAUCGGGUCUGUCUCCCCAGUGUGUGUCCACGCUCUGCUGCCAAGAAGCUCCAUCUCAAGAACUAGGAAGUCAAUGCCUGAACAGCCAGAAACUCUGUUAAGACACGACUAAGCAUUUCCAUGUCCUGUACUGGUCCCCAAAGCAGCCAAGUUAGGGACUGAUGCAUCUCUUACCUCGUAUGCUGUCCAGUGAGGCCUGGAUGCCAGCUUGGAGUUCAGGGUCACUCACUCUCUCUGCCAGCUUCCUGAGUCGGCUCAGAGCUUGCUUGGCCACCUCAUGUCGCCUGACUUCUGCUCUUACUGUGGCUAUAGCCAACUGCCUCUGGGCAUGCAUGUUGC